ensembl:lncRNA
CUCCCAGUGCUUUAUCAGCACAUGGCAGUUGUGUUCUGCAAACACCUCCUGCUUCCCAUGGCACUGGGCUGUGCUUGGCCCAAGGAGAGUCCUGCUCCUGUGCUGGAAGGACAAACACCAUGGGGAUAUCAGCAGCGUGCACAAAGGAUGCUGCUGCUUGGCUGCAUUGCUUUGUCCCACGCUUCCCUUUUGUACCCAUAUUUUCAUCUCCCUCUCUUUUAUUUUAUUUUUGUCCACAGGAAGAAAUGAAUUAUCCUGUGAAAAGUUAGCGCCUGUCUCAGGAGCCUGGGAUGGAAAAUUGGGUUUUAAUAGCUUUGAAAUUGAGGUUCUUUGGGUCAAUAGGACAAGAUUCUGCCACUGGAAUGACAGAUCCAUAAAGGGGGGGGGGGGGGGUAGGGAAGCAAAUAUUUUGUUACUCAUCAGAGAGCCACAGCCCAAAGAUAGCAAACAGAGGCUUAAAAAUGCUGCUGUGAUCUUCAGGCUACAGUGAUGUUUAGUCAUAAGCUCCUUCUUUUUGUUGCUCGUAUUGAUGUUAGCUUUGGGAACAGAGCAUGUGGUUCGCUGUCCUGAGACGUGCUUGAGAAUUCCUAAAGUUACUGCUGAUGUUUGAAAGUCAGCUAUGAAAUGGAGCUCUCACCCACCCCAUGCUGUUGCAAUCCCCGGGAUUGAGUGAAGCCAAUAAGGCCCCCAUUGGACCCAUUGCUCAGCAGAGAGCUGUGGGGCCCCCCAUGGUAGCAGGGAGUGGGGUGCUAGGCAUGGUAUUGCUGCACUGGAAGUGGGUGCAGGGUCAUUUGGUGCUUGUUCCAUUAGCAGCCUUUUGAAACAAAAAGGCUAGAACGCAAGCAUCCCAUCCGUAUGAGAGCAGGUAAUUACCAGUGAGUUAUUUGAAGGGGAAAAAUGAAAUGUGAUAAAAACCCAACGUACUUUAAAUGGGAAAUGUAAACAAGCAAGAGACAAUGCCCUCAUUACCAGAGAGUUGGAGUUUGAUCCCGCUUUCGCUAAUUAAAAGCAGAGUGGAAUCAAUUACAGGAAAACAAGGAGACUCUCAAUACCUCCACGCACAGACAGAGCAGCGCUGAGAAAAGCUGCUAAUUCAGCUGGCAUGGGAACUGCUCCAUCUCCAGCAGGACAGAAAACUUGCAGAGAACUCCUGCCAGAGUGCUGGAAUUAUUGGGCUCACUAUUAAAAGCAAUGAAU